AGGUUUCAUGCCAUCGGUGAGGAAAUUCAAGACAGGAACCAAAGCAGAAACAACGAGGUGUUAACAUCAUCAUCUGAUAUUGUUCAUAACAACAUAAUCAAUAUGGUCCCUCACCAUCACUGAGAGAACUCAAGCAGGAACCUAGAGGCUGAAGCUGAAGAAGAGACCACGGGGGAUUCCUUAACUGACUUGACCCCAGUGCUUCCUGAGGCUGCUUUUUACACACCGUGGGCCCACCUGUCAGGGCUGGCAAAGUACUUGCAGAAAUGACAGAAGGAGGAUACUCUAAAGCUUCAGAAGCCUGAGCUGCGCUGCAGCUUCAGGGAUUAACUGACAGUACCUAGCUUUUAAUUAUAGA